rnacentral:rRNA from 1 species
GAUGAACGCUGGCGGCGUGCCUAAUACAUGCACGUCGAGCGAACGGACGAGAAGCUUGCUUUUCUGAUGUUAGCGGCGGACGGGUGAGUAACACGUGGAUAACCUACCUAUAAGACUAGGAUAACUUCGGGAAACCGGAGCUAAUACCGGAUAAUAUUUUGAACCGCAUGGUUCAAAAGUGAAAGACGGUCUUGCUGUCACUUAUAGAUGGAUCCGCGCUGCAUUAGCUAGUUGGUAAGGUAACGGCUUACCAAGGCAACGAUGCAUAGCCGACCUGAGAGGGUGAUCGGCCACACUGGAACUGAGACACGGUCCAGACUCCUACGGGAGGCAGCAGUAGGGAAUCUUCCGCAAUGGGCGAAAGCCUGACGGAGCAACGCCGCGUGAGUGAUGAAGGUCUUCGGAUCGUAAAACUCUGUUAUUAGGGAAGAACAUAUGUGUAAGUAACUGUGCACAUCUUGACGGUACCUAAUCAGAAAGCCACGGCUAACUACGUG